CUGUCCCCCGUCCCCUGACCCCUGUCCCAAUCCCCUGUCAUCGUCCCCCGUCCCCUGUCCCCUGUUCCAUCUCAGAAUCCCUGUCCCAUCUCAGAAUCCCUGUCCUGUUGAGUGGAUGCCCCAUUCGACAUUCCCUGAUCCCAGAAUUCCAAGGCUAUGUCCCAAAAUGCCAGCCUAUUCCCUAUAUAGUGAACUACUACUGACCAGCGCUCAGAGAAUAGGGUGCCAUUUGGAACACAAGCCAAGGCAUUUCUUCUCAUCCCAGGGUCAGGUCAUUCCGAAACCAGUUUUUAAACUCUCUAUGCCAAACUAAGAAGAAAAACGACUUUAUUUUUUAAAACCAAAGCAAUUUUUAUUGUUACUAUCAGGAGCGCUAGUUACACAAUAUCUAACGUAUUGUUAUGUAGCAGAGUCUAUGAGGUAGAUGGAAUACAAUAUCUAAGGUAUUGUUAUGUACCAGAGUCUGAGGUAGAUGGAAUACAAUAUCUAAGGUAUUGUUAUGUAGCAGAGUCUAUGAGGUAGAUGGAAUACAAUAUCUAACGUAUUGUUAUGUAGCAUAGUCUAUGAGUUAGAUGGAAUACAAUAUCUAACGUAUUGUUAUGUAGCAUAGUCUAUGAGUUAGAUGGAAUACAAUAUCUAAGGUAUUGUUAUGUACCAGAGUCUAUGAGGUAGAUGGAAUACAAUAUCUAACGUAUUGUUAUGUACCAGAGUCUAUGAGUUAGAUGGAAUACAAUAUCUAAGGUAUUGUUAUGUACCAGAGUCUAUGAGGUAGAUGGAAUACAAUAUCUAAGGUAUUGUUAUGUACCAGAGUCUAUGAGGUAGAUGGAAUACAAUAUCUAAGGUAUUGUUAUGUACCAGAGUCUAUGAGGUAGAAGGAAUACAAUAUCUAACGUAUUGUUAUGUACCAGAGUCUAUGAGUUAGACGGAAUGUAAAAAAAUAUUAGGUCUUCUAAACACACACACAGGCUGGGGAGGAGCGAGAAAAGGCCACGUUAUAUUAACACAAAUAAACAGGAUGUUUACAUAAUCACUAUUAUGUGAGGUAGCAGCGCAAAUCUUCUCAUUUCCACAAGCCAGAGUUGAGAAGUAUAUAGAUGUUAGAUAGCUAAUAUGGAUAUGUGUGUUCAUGUGUGUAUUGGCUGCAUCCUACACGUUUGCUUACAACCCUUAUUGAGUUAUUUUAAAGUGCUUUUUUUUUAAAGUGCUUUAUAUAUAUAGCUUGCCCUUUAAGACUCUAAUCACAUAUAUAGAUGGUACUUUAUUUAUUUAGCUAAAUCAGUCACUGUCUAAAGAACAUGAACAACGUAACACUCUACGCUGAGUUUUGGGAGAUGGAGGGACAUCGUUUCCAUACAGAAUAAACAAAUCCCAACCUACCAGCAUCUCUCGUGAACAAGCGGCAUCGUGGGACACAGGAGGACCAACUGACAAACUAACAGGAAUCAUUCUCCUCCUUCCUCAAGAGCGUUCAACACAAAGGCUUCUGGAUAGUCUGGGCCAUAGUCAUCGGUCAUUGUAGACCCUGUUAGUGCGAACCACACUGGACUUCAUAUCCUAGAGGUGAUAUUGUAUGCUUCUGCCCCACAACAUGUCUACUGUACAGACCAGCACUUUUUGGAUCAACUUCCUCUUGAUUUCCUGUUUAAGUUUCUUAUCUUCACUUCCUGUUUCUGACCGUAAUUAGGAAGUGGGAAGAAUUGAUAAGAUAGAAGUCUUUCUGAUGUCUUGUGGUAGAAUCUCCCACCCAGGACACACCCACGCAUGGAUGUCCACCAAAACACACAGGCCUAUGUCUGAUUAUUGGGUACUGACUGCCACCUGGGUGAACUUUAACCUUUAGCCCCUGAGGUUAUGUGGUCAGGUCACUGUUCUCUCAGCAAUGUAAACCUCAGCAGCGCAGAUAUAUUGUAUUCUCAAGUAUUUUACAUUUUAGUCAUUUAGCAGACGCUCUUAUCCAGAGCGACUUACAGUAGUGAAUACAUACAUUUCGUGCAUUUGUUUUUUUGUACUGGCCCCCCGUGGGAAUCAAACCCACAACCCUGGCGUUGCGCACACCAUGCUGGCGUUGCAAACACCAUGCUCUACCAACUGAGCCACAGGGAAAGUAUCUUCAACAACCAGUAGAUGGCGUCUGAUUGGUUCCUGUUCAACCAGUAGAUGACAUCUGAUUGGUUCCUGUUCAACCAGUAGAUGACAUCUGAUUGGUUCCUGUUCAACCAGUAGGUGACAUCUGAUUGGUUCCUGUUCAACCAGUAGAUGCCGUCUGAUUGGUUCCUGUUCAACCAGUAGGUGACAUCUGAUUGGUUCCUGCACAAGCUCAAACUCAAAAGUGUAUUGUGAUCUCAUUUGCUGAUAAGGACAUUUCUUCUGGUCAACAGUUUUGCAUAUCGUCAUGUGAUCUGGACACACCGGUCUCUUAUUGGCCAGGACUCCUAUAUUACUUCUUAAAUCAGCCCUCUCUCAUUUCUUAUUGGUUGCUGUUACAUGCACACAAUAAUGUGAUUAUUGUGAAUAGUCAGAUUAAUAUAAUAGUUUGUUUAAAUGUUGUAUGCUUUGCAAGAAGAACAAUUUCCCUAAAAAUCCUGUUUACAUGGACACAUCUGAAAUCAGGCUACCUGAUGGGAUUUUUGAUAAAAGCGGAAAAUUUCCAAUCAAAAUAAUCGUUCUACCACAGUAACCAGGUUAUUUUUGCGAAGCCUAUUUGAUUCUGAGCAUGGAUAAAUAACGUUUUUUCCGUAUUCACUUCACUCAUACAUAAGAGGGAGGCUUGAGCUGCUGGCAGAUCAAAUACACAGCUGGAACGCCGAUUAAGCUGUUUACACGUCCCAAUAAUUUGAAAGUUUGCUUCAGAAAAUCAGCAAAUGCUUACUUUGAUUUUAACCUUACACCGGUUAAGAUAAGCUGAGUAAUGUGUUUACAUGUUUUUUCCGUACUCGGCCUUCUGCCAUAAUGAGUUGAAUAUAGCAUCUGUUCGGGCGAUACUUUUUGGGGCGGCAGGUAGCCUAGUGGUUAGAGUGGAGGGGCGACAGGUAGCCUAGUGGUUAGAGUGGAGGGGCGGCAGGUAGCCUAGUGGUUAGAGUGGUGGGGCGGUAGGUAGCCUAGUGGUUAGACCGUUGUUGCCAGUAACUGAAAGGUUGCUGGAUUGAAUCCCUGAGCUGACAAGGUAAAAAUCUGUCGUUCUGCCCCCUGAACAAGGCAGUUAACCCACUGUUCCCCAGUAGGUCGUCAUUGUAAAUAAGAAUUUGUUCUUAACUGACUUGCCUAGUUAAAUAAAAUAAAAAAUUAAAUAUCACAUUAUUUGUGUGCAUGUAAACGUACUCAAUGUUUCUAAUGUUCUAUGCUAGUUGGCUGCAAUGACCAAACUUCCAUAAUGAAAAAUAUUUCAACAAAUUUUGUUAACACUGUUGAUUGACUGAAUUUCAGUUCAGAGUCAAAUUUAUCACAUGCUUUCAUGGCGCCAUUGUACACGCAACAAAUAAUGACAUGAAGGAUUUCUUUAAGCAGUAGCUUUUAUGUUGUGACCACGAGGAAUAUCACUGAGACCAAACAUGUCCAUUUAAGAUGAAGGCUGGCGUAUCGUAAACAAUCUUUAGUGGUUCUGUAGAUACUGGCCAUUGGAACGCUGUGGAGAGAGAUUCUGUAGACUCUGGCCAUUGGAACGCUGUGGAGAGAGAUUCUGUAGACUCUGGCCAUUGGAACCUGCUGUGGAGAGAGAUUCUGUAGACUCUGGCCAUUGGAACGCUGUGGAGAGAGUU
rnacentral:lncRNA from 1 species